UACGUAGGGGGCAAGCGUUGUCCGGAUUUAUUGGGCGUAAAGAGCGUGUAGGCGGUCAGGUAAGUCCGUUGUGAAAACUCGAGGCUCAACCUCGAGACGCCGAUGGAAACCAUCUGACUAGAGUCCGGAAGAGGAGAGUGGAAUUCCUGGUGUAGCGGUGAAAUGCGCAGAUAUCAGGAAGAACACCCGUGGCGAAGGCGGUUCUCUAGGACGGUACUGACGCUGAGACGCGAAAGCGUGGGGAGCGAACAGG
rnacentral:rRNA from 1 species